rnacentral:rRNA from 1 species
UACGUAGGGGGCAAGCGUUGUCCGGAUUUAUUGGGCGUAAAGAGCGUGUAGGCGGCCAGGUAGGUCUGCUGUGAAAACUCGAGGCUUAACCUCGAGCUGUCGGCGGAAACCAUCUGGCUAGAGUCCGGAAGAGGAGAAUGGAAUUCCCGGUGUAGCGGUGAAAUGCGCAGAUAUCGGGAGGAACACCAAUGGCGAAGGCAGCU